rnacentral:misc_RNA from 1 species
CAUAAUCAAGUGUUUUUAUGGCACUUUCAAAAAUCCAUAUCCACCUUGUGUGCAAUGUCAUCUCACUGGAGGUCAACGGCUGUAAAAAUCCGUUGGUCACCUUUGGGAUUUAUAUCUACUCAGAACUUUAGUGAUUUUGUCUGAAACAUAUUAUGAAUACUUAAUUCAAAAUA